UACGUAGGUGGCAAGCGUUGUCCGGAUUUACUGGGCGUAAAGAGCGCGCAGGCGGUCGUUCAAGUCGCGUGUGAAAGCCCCCGGCUCAACUGGGGAGGGUCACGCGAUACUGAUCGACUCGAAGGCAGGAGAGGGUAGUGGAAUUCCCGGUGUAGUGGUGAAAUGCGUAGAGAUCAGCAGGAAUACCCGUGGCGAAGGCGGCCCCCUGGGCCGACCCUGACGCUGAGGCGCGAAGGCUAGGGGAGCGAACG
rnacentral:rRNA from 1 species